UUCUCAACCCGCAUAACCUGUCCGCUCGAGAGCACGAUCCAGUCAGGCGGAGGCGGGCGUUGCACGAUGGGGAUCUCGGCGAUGCAGGAUGCAGCGAUCGCGUCGGACCUCGCCGCGGUGCUCUCCGGGGAUUGGCCUCGCCGCUGCUUUUUGGGGACUUCCCUGCACCUCUGCCCCCGUGCCCCGCUGCCCCGCUGCCGUCCGCCUGCCCUGGCCGCUGGAGAGCACGAUCCGGUCCGCGGCCUCUGCCCCCUGCGGCCCUCCCGGCCGCCUCCUUAUGAAUCGCCGCUGACGCCUCCUUCCGGCGAGAGGCCGAUCUGCCGCUUCCAGUUGUCGCAAGAGAAAGAGAUUGCUCGUGAAGUCCUGUAAUCAGAUAAUGCUGAUAGCGAAGACAGGUGGUGAGAUGGAUGAUGCCUUAUCAGCACCUGCGCCUGGUGCGUACAAGGACUAGAAUUUAUAACAGUCCUGUCGUGCUACCUUGUUACUGCUUACCACCAGUCCACCAGUAAAAGGGUUCAUAGUGUGUAACUGUACUAAUCCUGGUGUUUGUGUAUUUGCAUGAUUGUCUUACUUCUCUGGCCCAAUUGUUUUGUGUAUUUUCUGAUUAUUAUAGUUGAGGCCAUCUUGUGCUGACGGUGAUUUUUUUUUUAGGUUUGUACAGCUUAUCUCCAUUUCCAUUAGUUCGAUAUGUUUCUUGUGGCUUGAGCAUAGCCGAGGAUCUUGUAUCUGUGAAGGAAUGCAUAACGCAGUUCUUGGUCAGGCUGCCGAUAUGCCAAUUCAUCGUGCCGAGGAACCUGAAUCUCCUAGCCAUACCUCUGUCAGUCUCACAGGAAAAGAGAAGAACAGCCGUAAACACGACCGUAUAGAUUGGACAAGAGAAGAACAGCCGCAGACAUGCUCCAAGUUGGUCUCAAUCGAGCCAAGGAGGGUGUAGUCUGAACCGAAGCGUGCAAUCGUCUGUGUGUAAUCAUCAAUAAAAUGUAAAACACUGAUAUGGUAUCAUAUGUAAUGCUGACGGUGGUGGGUUUUGUUAACCAGCUCGCUGGGUUCACAGGAACCUGUUCUGUGUCUUUGCAAAGAGAUAAUAAAAGACGAUGUGAUGGUUAAUCUUGUUGUAUUUUAUUCUCCUGGACUCAUGGUGCAUCAACUACACUCGUAUGUCUAAUAGAACCAUUGCUGAAUCU